rnacentral:lncRNA from 1 species
UGCAUAUUCAUGUUAAUACCAAUAAACUUUCACACAUACAUAUGUCUGUAUAUAAAUCAUAUUUGACACAUAACAACACAUUGCAUAAAUACAUGGACAGACCAUAUAAAUCCAUACCCCGUACAUAUCAAAAUAAACUUUUGAAACACGUAAAAUAGAUACAUAUUUUUUAUUGUGAUUAAGUAACAAAAGUGUCUUACACCAUCGGCCUAAAACCAAUAAUAAAACGCUCAUGAGAUAUCAUCAUAUCCUCAUUCAUGAGUUACUAAAAUAUCCCAAAAUUUUAAAUUACCAAAUUACCCUUAAAAUUUCUAAGCUGGUUAAUGAUGACCGGAAUUCGAGCGGCAAUGAUCAAAUAAGUCAAAACAGGAACUUCAGCUCGCUCUGAAUCCAAAGGUGGCAGCGGUGUGCUCCGACGCGCAGCCAUGGUGCCCGAUCGAGUUUCGACAGCCGUGAAACUUCAAUGGCUGAUCGGCGACAAAUCGGCUACUGUUGAUGGUCAGAAAUUGAAGUGACUGCCAUAAAGGACAAAUCCCAGGUGACGACAUGACCGAAAUCCGGUAAAAACUCACUGAUUUGAGUCGUCGCCCUCCAUGACUUAACACGGGUUCGUGGGGUAGUCAUAGGCCGUUUUCCGGCAACAAUGAUGAUGGGGGAAUGACUGCGUCGUCUGGGAGUUCGGUUGAUACCCUCCAUUUCCGGAGAUGUGGCCGGCAUCGGAAGCAUCGAGUCAGGUUUCGUGAACGGGUUGACCCGACCUGUUUCCUCUCUCCUCUGAGCCGAUCGCCACGUUCUCUCUCCCACUUAAUUCACUUAAUCCAGUUAAUGACUAAGGUGGCGUUUAUUUUUUAACUUAAUGACUUAAAGUGACUUAACUUAAUUAAUUAAGUUAAUUAGAGGUGUUUGUUUUUAUAACUUAAUGAGACUUUUUAUAUAAUUUUGACUUAAUAAAAUAAGCUAAUUUUUUUGACUUUUUACUUAAUGGAGAAAUCUAAAUUAAGUCAAUUACUUGCUAAUGUCAAAAAUAUUCCUAUUUUAUAAUUUAUUUUUCAUGUCUAUCCCAAAACUCACCCAUAGACAUUUACCUCACAUAAAAAUUCUUUAUUUUUUCUUUCUUAUAUUAUAUACGAUAAAAUUUAAAUAUAAUGGUAUUUUAUAUAUUAAAAUUUCAAAAUAAUAAUGUAUUCACUUGAAUAUAGUUUUAUUUAUAAAUGUUAAAAUAUUGUGGUAUUUAAUAUAUUAUUUAUUUGACAUUCAAAUUUAACAAGGAUACAAAUGUAAAAAUACAUAUUUUCAGCUUUUUAAGUUGAAAAAAACAAAUAACUUAAUACUUAUUUUUCGAGAUUCAGACGAAAAAACAAACAUAUUAUUCAAAUUCAGACAUUUAGAUCUAUUCAGAAUUCAGACUAAUUCAAGUCUAUUCAAAUUUCAGAUAAAAAAACAAACGCCACCUAAAUAUCCUUAGGAGAAUUAAUUUUUUUAUUAAUGACAAAAAUACUCUUAAUUUAUGAAGAAAUUAAGUGCUGUUAUGAAGGAAUUAAUUUUUUUACUGCGAAAUGCUCCUAAAAAAUUAAUCUUUAGAACUGUAAAUAUAGUGAAAAUUGGUCUUUUGGAUAACUAAGAUAGGGAAAGUUGGUUUUGGGAUAAUUAGAUUUACCAAAUUGGUCUUUAGAAUAGUGCUUCAAACGUGUCUUAGUGAAUUUUGCAAAAAUUGUUAUUUCUAGAUGCAAACUCAGGG